rnacentral:lncRNA from 1 species
AUGGGGUUUCCUUUUGCCCAGGUGGCGAAAGUUACGGGACUUGGUUUCCCCAAGACCGGCAGCAGCAUAAGAGCAGAGCUGGGGCAUCGGCCUCUGCCCGGGGGCCCCAAGAUCCGGCUCCCCACGAGGCUGGCGCUCGCCGGCCCGCCCCCCCCCGAGCAUCAUGGUCAAUGGGGAGGCAUCUGUGGGAUGCCAGCGGCUGGACGCUCUGUCGGGAGGUCUGUCCACCUCCAGAGAGGCAGAGGCGGGGCAGUAGACGGUGGGCAGCUGCCGGGAGAGCCUGUGGGGCCUGGCUACCUGGGGUGGCAUGCAGCCGGUCGGGAUGCCACUCACCGCCAGGACGCGAGCUGUGCCCUGAAGUGCGGGCUGCUGGGGUCGGCAAAGCCGCGAGCACCAGCACUUGUCCCCUGCCUGAGCCACCUUCCUUGGCGCCAUCUGUCCUCGGAACUCAGGCUCGGGGCCUCCGUGCCGACACGUGGCUGUGGGAGUCUGCAUGGGCCACGUGCAGAAGACCACCUAGUGAGUGGCAGCUGUGCCUGGGGCUCAAAGCCAGACGGUCGCCCACGCUGCCCGCAGCUCAGCAGGUCCUUCCAGGGCUCCCGGACGUCCAGCAGGGCCAGGUUCUGCCUGCUACGGGGCCCAGACCAGGGCCCAGCACCACCUUCUUGGUUCGUGGGAGGCCCCAGCCCUCUGGGAUGUGGUUGGCACUGCUGGCAGGGUCUGGUCCAUGCCCCAGCUCCUGCAGGUCAGUGGGAUACUCACCAGGACCAGCUGGCCCUGGGGAAGGCCCCUGUUGUGCCCCUCCCACCCUGGUCUGUCCCCAGUCCUGCUCCACCAUACAGGUUGAUUCCUGGGACCCUUGGAGUCCCUUCUGGCUGUCUUCAGCCAAUCAGAGGCUUUGCGGGGCGGCGAGAAGGCCAGAGGAAGCAGGUGGGGCGUUCCCUGCCCAGCCUCUGGCUCCUUCACGCUCCUGGUGAGGCGCCCCCUGCAGGCUGGGGCUGGGGCAGCCCUCACCUAGAUAGACCUUGGAGGGUCCCGUCCCCUGACCCCUGGCCCCUGGCCCCAACCCCGGCCCCUGCUCUCUUCCAUUCACCACUUUCAAUGGGUUGCUACUUCCCGCCAGGACCUUGCUGUUCUACCUGA